UACGUAGGGUGCGAGCGUUAAUCGGAAUUACUGGGCGUAAAGGGCUCGUAGGUGGCCAACUAAGUCAGACGUGAAAUCCCUCGGCUUAACCGGGGAACUGCGUCUGAUACUGGAUGGCUUGAGUUUGGGAGAGGGAUGCGGAAUUCCAGGUGUAGCGGUGAAAUGCGUAGAGAUCGAGAGGAACACCAGUGGCGAAGGCGAGUUCCUGGACAAGUCCUGACGCUGAGGCACGAAAGCCAGGGGAGCAAACAGG
rnacentral:rRNA from 1 species